UUCCGGNUGAUCCUGCCGGAGGUUACUCCUUUCGGUGUUCGACUAAGCCAUGCAAGUCAUAUGUUCCUCGUGAACAUGGCAUACUGCUCAGUAACACGUGGAUAACCUGCCCUUGGGUCUGGGAUAACCCCGGGAAACUGGGGAUAAUAUCGGAUAACGCAUAUGUGCUGGAAUGCUUUAUGCGUAAAACGGAUUCGUCCGCCCAAGGAUGGGUCUGCGGCCUAUCAGGUAGUAGUGGGUGUAAUGUACCUACUAGCCAACAACGGGUACGGGUUGUGAGAGCAAGAGCCCGGAGAUGGAUUCUGAGACAUGAAUCCAGGCCCUACGGGGCGCAGCAGGCGCGAAAACUUUACAAUGCGGGAAACCGUGAUAAGGGAACACCGAGUGCCAGCAUCAUAUGCUGGCUGUCCAGAUGUGUAAACUACAUCUGUUAGCAAGGGCCGGGCAAGACCGGUGCCAGCCGCCGCGGUAACACCGGCGGCCCGAGUGGUGACCGUUAUUAUUGGGUCUAAAGGGUCCGUAGCCGGUUUGGUCAGUCCUCCGGGAAAUCUGAUAGCUUAACUGUUAGGCUUUCGGGGGAUACUGCCAGGCUUGGAACCGGGAGAGGUAAGAGGUACUACAGGGGUAGGAGUGAAAUCUUGUAAUCCCUGUGAGACCACCUGUGGCGAAGGCGUCUU
rnacentral:rRNA from 1 species